AGAGUUUGAUCAUGGCUCAGGAUGAACGCUGGCGGCGUGCUUAACACAUGCAAGUCGAACGUGAGGAUGCAGCAAUGUAUCUGAAAGUGGCGGACGGGUGAGUAACACGUGGGUGACCUGCCUUGUAGUGGGGGAUAACCAUGGGAAACUGUGGCUAAUACCGCAUGGUCUUGAUAAGGGUGGACUUUAUCAGGUAAAGCUUUAGUGCUACGAGAGGGGCCUGCGGUCGAUUAGGUAGUUGGUGAGGUAAUGGCUCACCAAGCCGAUGAUCGAUAGCUGGUCUGAGAGGACGAUCAGCCACACGGGAACUGAGAGACGGUCCCGACUCCUACGGGGGGCAGCAGUGAGGAAUAUUGGGCAAUGGGCGCAAGCCUGACCCAGCAACGCCGCGUGAAGGAUGAAGGCCCUUGGGUUGUAAACUUCUUUUGCAGGGGAAGAGAGCGGACGGUACCCUGAGAAUAAGUCACGGCUAACUACGUGCCAGCAGCCGCGGUAAUACGUAGGUGACAAGCGUUAUCCGGAAUUACUGGGCGUAAAGCGCACGCAGGCGGCUAGGUAAGUCUGACGUGAAAUCUCCCGGCUUAACCGGGAGCGGUCGUUGGAAACUACUUGGCUUGAGGCGAUGAGAGGGGUGUGGAAUUCCCGGUGUAGUGGUGGAAUGCGUAGAUAUCGGGAGGAACAUCAGUGGCGAAAGCGGCACCCUGGCAUUAGCCUGACGCUCAGGUGCGAAAGCGUGGGGAGCGAACGGGAUUAGAUACCCCGGUAGUCCACGCCGUAAACGAUGAACACUAGGUGUGGGUGGUCUCAAAAUCAUCUGUGCCGAAGUAAACGCGAUAAGUGUUCCGCCUGGGGAGUACGGCCGCAAGGCUAAACUC
rnacentral:rRNA from 1 species